GUGAACUACCACUGAGCUGAAGACGCAGUGGCUUCUUCGGGAGCCACUGAAGACUCAGUUCAGUAGCUUCGCAAGAAGCCUGAGUUCACCAGACUCCUCAUCAGAAAUGGUGAGACCGUUUGAAAGGUCAUGACACCUGCGGUUGACGCAUCAGACCGCUGCUCUGUCGCGGAGAGUUAAGUAGGCUUGAGGCAAGGGCCGGUGCUCUCAGCGGAAAAAGCCUUUGAACACUGUCGAGAUGAAGUCGGA
rfam:Ktedonobacter racemifer DSM 44963 strain SOSP1-21 Krac_Contig202, whole genome shotgun sequence.